AAGUUAUUAAGGGCGCACGGUGGAUGCCUUGGCACUAGAAGCCGAUGAAGGACGUUACUAACGACGAUAUGCUUUGGGGAGCUGUAAGUAAGCUUUGAUCCAGAGAUUUCCGAAUGGGGAAACCCAGCAUGAGUUAUGUCAUGUUAUCGAUAUGUGAAUACAUAGCAUAUCAGAAGGCACACCCGGAGAACUGAAACAUCUUAGUACCCGGAGGAAGAGAAAGAAAAUUCGAUUCCCUUAGUAGCGGCGAGCGAAACGGGAAGAGCCCAAACCAACAAGCUUGCUUGUUGGGGUUGUAGGACACUCUAUACGGAGUUACAAAGGACGACAUUAGACGAAUCAUCUGGAAAGAUGAAUCAAAGAAGGUAAUAAUCCUGUAGUCGAAAAUGUUGUCUCUCUUGAGUGGAUCCUGAGUACGACGGAGCACGUGAAAUUCCGUCGGAAUCUGGGAGGACCAUCUCCUAAGGCUAAAUACUCUCUAGUGACCGAUAGUGAACCAGUACCGUGAGGGAAAGGUGAAAAGCACCCCGGAAGGGGAGUGAAAUAGAACCUGAAACCGUGUGCUUACAAGUAGUCAGAGCCCGUUAAUGGGUGAUGGCGUGCCUUUUGUAGAAUGAACCGGCGAGUUACGAUUUGAUGCAAGGUUAAGCAGUAAAUGUGGAGCCGUAGCGAAAGCGAGUCUGAAUAGGGCGUUUAGUAUUUGGUCGUAGACCCGAAACCAGGUGAUCUACCCUUGGUCAGGUUGAAGUUCAGGUAACACUGAAUGGAGGACCGAACCGACUUACGUUGAAAAGUGAGCGGAUGAACUGAGGGUAGCGGAGAAAUUCCAAUCGAACCUGGAGAUAGCUGGUUCUCUCCGAAAUAGCUUUAGGGCUAGCCUCAAGUGAUGAUUAUUGGAGGUAGAGCACUGUUUGGACGAGGGGCCCCUCUCGGGUUACCGAAUUCAGACAAACUCCGAAUGCCAAUUAAUUUAACUUGGGAGUC
rnacentral:rRNA from 1 species